UCUUUAUUCUGACGCCAGAUCCAGAUCUGAGGCCCGUUUUCCUUUAUAUAAGAGUACCCUCUCGACCUCACGAGCCCUCACCAGAUCUGAAGCUCGUAGGCAGCAGGCCUCUCCUAGAGCCAUGAGAAAUGAGCUGCAGUGAGUGUUAGUGGAUGAAAGCUCAAAACGCUUUCGUAGAUCCUGACAGUUUUGAAGUAAUAGCAGGCCUGGCUUUGCUUUUCUUCAAAGCAUCUUGAGAGACCAAAAUCUGCAAUUUUUGGCACCAUGUUGUCAUCAAGCAAUAUAUUUGCAGGUUUGAGGUCUAAGUGGAGAAUAUGGAUCUUGUGGAGAUAAUGCAAACCCUCACAAAUUCCCUUGAUUAUUUCAUAGCGCUUUGUCCAUUGAGAUUCUCUUCAUUGAGAAAUUGUGCGGCAUGGGACAAUUGCAACGAAGCUGUCCAACAUGCAUGAUAAAAGAUAAGAGCAAAAAUAUAGUAUGAUCUAUUGGAUAUUGUGUUGACUCACAAGGAAAGACCAAAAUACAAAAAAAAGAGGCAAAUGAUUGCUAUGCGUUGCAUGUCUACCUAGGCGAAUCUACAUGCCUAUGUAACAAAUUCAAGAUGCAUGGGUCUGCAUGUAGAGAGCGCUAUCAAAUAAUCAAGGAAUUUGCGAGGGUUUACAUUAUCUUCACAAGAGUUAUAUUGUUCGCUUAGACCUUAGACCUUCAAACAUAUUUCUAGAUGACAAUAUGAUGCUAAAAAUUGCGGAUUUUUGUUUCUCAUGAUGCUUGGAGGAAAAACAAAGCUAAGCUAUUGCUUCAAAACAGUUUGGAUCUAUGUAAUCUAGCCAGCCAACAAUCUUCGAAAGCUCGAUUUCUUUGUGUAUUUUAUUAAUUAUAUGCCUUCCUUGCCCUGUUCAUUAACAAGUUGAUAUGGAUUUUAUGCAGGGCAUCAGACUCUUAAGAUGGAAAAUCACAUUAGAGCUACACAUGUAGUUUUUGCUUAUAAUCGUACAAUACUAGUGGGGAAAAACGGGCAUUGAUGAAAUGGGUGGGCGCAUUGUAGAUUUACCUUUGUUAAUGUUGUUUGCAAGUUAACAUCAGAUCUGUAUAUGUGUGUAUAUAUUACAUGUCUUGCUGUCAUAAUAUAUGAAUGCAAUAGGUUCUUGAAACUUGGGGGAUUAGGUUGGAGAAAUCACCAGGAGGAUAUUUGAUGCGUGUAGUACGCACAGGCUGUAGUCAUUGGCUUGACAAAACAGAACGAACAAAUACUUCUUUUCAGACUUGCAUGGGUAGGUCAUAGGUUGUGCAGGUAAGCUCAUUUAUGGGCCACGGCAUGCUCCACUAACCUCUUUUUUGUAGAACCUGUGUACAUCAUUCCAUGCUGCUCCGAGCUGGUGGAUGAGAUCAAGCCUCGUUGGUUGUCCAACAGAAAUGGGUUCUGGUGGGCUGCAGCGAAAUGCACCUAAGAUAUAUUGGGAAGCCAUUCCAUCUAACGGCCCGUCCUUCAUAGAUAUCAUUACUGAAUUAGAGGUUUCCGGCAGCAGAUCAGGAGCAAACAUGAAGAUACUGUGGAGACAAGGCAAGAAGAAGAAACAGUCCAGGCAAUGAAGAGUGGCCCCUCUGCUCAUACUCCAUGAUAGUUCUUCCCGUUAACUGAUCGGCCAAGCGAGGAUAGGGGCUGAUGGCACUAGAAAAGUAGCGUAUCGCCUGAUUUUGUCAUUGCUUCUUCGGACCUGAUUUUUAUGGUCUCAUUCUCAAUUUCAGUUACAGCUCUAGUCUGGAUUAUCUCACAUAGAGCAAACCGGAGUGACCAUUAUAUCUAGCUUUCUGGUUUCGUUAACAUUUGGGUUGAUGGAUAUGUCAUCUAUGGAUGUAUUGGUUACGACUUGCAGCUUUAAAUAGCUGCUACUCACAGUGAGAAUUUCAUAUCA